CUCAGGAACAAUAGCCCUAAAUUUGAAAUCCGACAGAGGUUAGCAGAAGACUGGAUGUGUGUAUUCAGCUUUGCCAUAUGCAGCUUUUUGUGGAACUCCUCAUAGAAACUCAGCCUUUUGUUGCAUAUUGGAGAACUUCAUUACCAUAAGAAAAUGUGAUGUUCUUGGCUGUGAAUUCCUGCUACAAUGUGAACUAGGAUCCCAAGGCAAG